AGUAACGCGUGGGUAACCUGCCUUAUACAGGGGGAUAACAGUCAGAAAUGGCUGCUAAUACCGCAUAAGCGCACAGAGCUGCAUGGCUCAGUGUGAAAAACUCCGGUGGUAUAAGAUGGACCCGCGUUGGAUUAGCUUGUUGGUGGGGUAACGGCCCACCAAGGCGACGAUCCAUAGCCGGCCUGAGAGGGUGAACGGCCAUAUUGGGACUGAGACACGGCCCAG
rnacentral:rRNA from 1 species